AUGGUUGAAGGCGUUAAUCAAGAACCUAAAAAUCGUUGCCGAAAACCACGAACGAAGGGGGAAGAUAUAAAAUUAGCGGUGACUGAAAGUGAUUAUUGCGGAUUAAGGUCGUUGAUCGUCAAGGACAGGAACGACGGCGUUCGAAGAAGGCGGAGGGAUUCGGCGCCGUUGAUGAAGGAAGGGGAUCACUUCUUCUCAAGAAGUUGGAGCGUCACUUGUUUGUGA